UGCGUCCUCUCCAAAUUGCUUCCGAGCAGGAAGGGGAUCAGAGCCAAACAGGCUGCCGAUACCUACAUUGGAACAGGUUGCCCAAGGAGGCUGUGGAUGCCCCAUCCCUGCAGGCAUUCAAGGCCAGGCUGGAUGUGGCUCUGGGCAGCCUGGGCUGCUGGUUGGCGACCCUGCACAUAGCAGGGGGUUGGAACUGGAUGAGCACUGUGGGCCUUUUCAACCCAGGCCAUUCUAGGACUCUAUGAUGAUAUACAGACCCAGGGAGACCACACAGCUCCCAGAGGAAGCAUUGGCUCCCAAUCUUAGCAAGCUACGAAUGGAAAAACGCUAAUGCUGCUCUGCGUUCAAAAAAAAAACCUGGGCUAACUCUUUCCAAAGGACCAUCUAGUGCUGCAGCCCACCUCUGAAGAUGCUGCAGGAGCAUCCUCCUGGAACACAGCACGCCUCAAAGAGCCUGGACCCUGCAUAGCACUGUGCUCCUGUUCUUCAUGGACAGCCUUAUGCAAGGACUUCCAGGUCUGGAAGAGGCAUCAAGCAAGACAUCACAUGAAACUCACUGACCUUUACAGCUUCUGGACGUGGGACAUCCAAGGCAGGCGGUGGAUUCCCUGUCCCUACAGGGCACCUCGUCUGUGUGCUGGAGAUGGACACCUCUCCAAGAGCAUCUACCAGGGUCUCCAUCCUUUGCUCCUGUACCUGCAAAGGAAAGGCCAUGUCGUCUUGAAGCUGGGCUUGUUCUGAAAACCCCUCCUGUGCUUCCUGGUGUCACACAGCACGUCGGUUCAGGUAAUCCGUGGCGGGAGGGGAAGUGGGGCCACUGGGGUUGGCGAAGGGGCCGUUCUCGGCAGCGUACACCUGCACCUCUUGGCAAAACGGGCCCUGCGGCCUGGCAGAAACUUCUGCUGAAUAUUUUGGCUGGAUCCGUGAACUUGUGCGGCUUUUGUGGCAUGGAAACUGCCUAUAACUUAUGCUGAAUAAGCCCCAUAUAUCAUGUUGACAGUUCCAGGACAUUAUAAGAUCAUUUAGCCCUUUCUCACCAAAAACAAUUUCAAACCACAGGGUAAUUAUUUAAUGAUCAGUAAAAGAGCCCCGCAUUAACCUCACGACUGAGAAAAAAGUAAGAUCCAAAAAUCCAAAAUCUCCUCCACCCCCAAACUCCAGCAACUGAAAUCCCACGACCUGCCCCACCUGCUGUGCACCCAGUAGCGUGAAAUCGCAGAGCUGGUGCAGAAAUUACAGCAUGAGAUCCCAGCAUCCUGACCUGGGACGGCUGAGUCUGGAUGAGAGCUGAGAAGAGAAGAUGUGUUUAGAGGUGAGUUUUCAGAGAAGCCAUUUACACUGUGGUGGGAAGAAUGUCUCUACGGCAUUUAAGCUUUUGCUGUGUCCAAAAGUGCUCUAAAAUGUCCACAGAUCCUGAGAAAAAAGUUGUUAACAUCCUCAGCAGCAGCCUAAGGAAGCUCCAAGAGACAGCAGAGAUUCAGCUUUUACUCCAUCCGAGCCUGCUGAACACAUAUGGGGAAGUCUAUUUCUUUCCCAAGGGGAAAAGAUCCAGUGCGCCAGUGGUGUAAAACCAAUGCAGCAGUGCCAAAGCCAAUGGCACCACAGUAAUUUGCAUCUGGACUGGUUCAAACUGCUCCCUUUGAAUCAAGACCUUGUUAAUAUGUAAAGAAAACUUUGCCUCUCCUGGGGCUUACAUCUUCCAGCACGAAGUGGAUGGGGUCAUCUCAGCACAGAAAUCAGGCAGUCUCCUAGGAAAAUUUCCCAUCUCUUGAGCAAGGGAAGCUGUACGAUGCCUUGGAGCCUCACUCUGCAUCUUCUUCAUUCUUUAGGCAUCUUCCUCAUUGGCACAGCUGCCCAGGAGUGGUGGGGUCACCGUCCUGGAGGCGCUCCAGAGCCUUGGAGAUGUGGCACUGACGGCAGUGGGCAUGGCGGGGUGGGCUGGGGUUGGGCUUGGGGAUCUCGGAGGUCUUUCUAACCUCAGUGAUUCUAUGACUCUGCGAUUCCAUGACCUCUGUAUCCCCGUGCCCAAGCUCUAAGCAUCCUGAUGGGUAUCACCUCCUAUCCCACAGGUGUCACUGCCAAUCCCACUUGCCAGGCCCAUGUGCACUUCGUUUUCUUGCCCUUCUUGAGAACUGUCUGCAGGUUGUGCUUUGCCUCCAUCAUCAUUGUGGCUUUCAUCUGCACCGGUAGCGGCAAUCCCCACCAUGCAGGAUUUAUUUACAUUGCAGGCCACGAGCAGAGGUUCUAUUCUUCCGAAGCGUCCAGGUUUCUAAGCUCGCAUUAUAUUUUACCUUUUUGGGAAAUUCCUUUCCUAGAAAGGAACAGCUGGUCUUAAUCUGUUCCGAUGAUACCUACUGAUCUAUACAGCAAGAGCAAAGCGAGGCCAACUGUGUUGGAAAGCAUCGUGGGCUUCUCCGCAAAUAUUCAUUCACUGUUUCGGACUCUCUUUUUAAAGCCAUGAUGUAGAGAGGCACUUCGAGCUUGCUCCCCACGUUUUCCAUUAGUGGUAAUUUAAAACUUUGAAAAAUGUACAGUAACUUGCCUGGGUCAGCUGAGUAUCAGCAUGUAGCUUUUCAUUCACAUUUUUCAUUUAAUCCGGUGGCUUUGAAUUCCUUGCCUUGUAAGUUCCUAUAUAUGAAGAUUAGAAACUGCUCCUGGCUAUGUAGAAUUACAUGCUUUUAGAUGAAAUUUAAUCCCUUGUAAAAGGUUUUGUUCGCU
ensembl:lncRNA